CUGGUUGGACCUCCAGCACAUGCUGCAGGGGUUGUUUGAGGCCUCCUUUUCUUUGUUUAGUGGUUUGCGGCUUUUUGAUCCUCAGGCCUUCUGACGUCAUUAACAGUCACAGCCUAUAUUUCCCAAUGGGCACAAAGUUAAUCAUGUCCAGCACACAGGUCUGAGCUCAGCAGAAGCCCACUCCUCCUCUCAUCCAUCCAGACCUCAGUAUCGUCUUCAUUCAUCACCACCACAACCACCAUGACCAGCACUGUCUAGACUCCAGCGGGUGGUAUCCUGCACUACUCACGACAUCUCUACCCCAUUGAAACAUGAUGACGUCCAUGGUCAAUGGCGUCUCAUUGCCAAAGACUUUCUCAUUGUGUCUAAAAGAAGUCUCUAACAAUUCAAGUACAGUUAGUGUGCAGUUCAAUGGCACUGUCUGUGUUUUUAAACCCUGAUACAAAACAUAUUUUUAUCGAUUCACCUUUAUGACUAAUGGCUGUUUUGUUGUUGCAUUAUAGUGUUUUGUCAUGUUAGUACAUCCAUCUGCUGAUUUUGGUUUUAUAUCUUUUAUAGAGAUUUUUUUUGAUAGAUUUCUUUCUUCCUGUCUGAAGUUGGUUUAACAUCUUUUGUGCUACA